rnacentral:rRNA from 1 species
UACGUAGGGGCCUAGCGUUGUCCGGAUUUAUUGGGCGUAAAGAGCUCGUAGGCGGCUUGGUUAGUCAGGUGUGAAAUCUCCACGCUCAACGUGGAGGGGCCACCUGAUACUGCCAUGGCUUGAGUCCGGUAGGGGAGUGUGGAAUUCCCGGUGUAGCGGUGAAAUGCGCAGAUAUCGGGAGGAACACCAAUGGCGAAAGCAGCUCUCUGGGACGGUACUGACGCUGAGACGCGAAAGCGUGGGGAGCGAACAGG